UCCGGUUCCUCACCGGCAGUCUCCUUAGAGUCCCCAACUAAAUGCUGGCAACUAAGGACAAGGGUUGCGCUCGUUACGGGACUUAACCCAACAUCUCACAACACGAGCUGACGACAGCCAUGCAGCACCUGUCUCUGCGCUCCUUUCGGCACCCCAGCUACUAAGCCAGGUUCGCAGGAUGUCAAGGGUAGGUAAGGUUCUUCGCGUUGCAUCGAAUUAAACCACAUGCUCCACCGCUUGUGCGGGCCCCCGUCAAUUCAUUUGAGUUUUAGCCUUGCGGCCGUACUCCCCAGGCGGGGCGCUUAAUGCGUUAGCUACGGCACGGAUUCCGUGGAAGGAACCCACACCUAGCGCCCACCGUUUACGGCGUGGACUAC
rnacentral:misc_RNA from 1 species